rnacentral:lncRNA from 1 species
UCUUUCUUCUCCUCAUUGUUCAUACAACAUGCAACUAAGACAGUGAAAACCACCAUUGCCUGUCUGGAAAAAGGUGCUAUUGCUUGCCUCAUCAACUUUAAUACGGCUACUUAUAGCAGAAAUAAAGACUUGAACUCUUAGCAGGUGAAAGAUGAAAGUGACACAGUGUUGUCAUCACUUGAAGACUGUGACAUGCUCUCCUGUCCAGAGCCUGAAAUGUGAUUAUACCAUCAGACUCCUUAGGCUUUGCUGUACAGUGCUUUUGGAGUCAUCAUUGAAAAAACACGAGGUGCAGAAGAUGACCUGAAUACCAUAGCUGCUGGAACCUUGACAGGAAUGCUAUACAAAAGCACUGGUGGAGUGCGUGGGAUAGCACGAGGGGGCAUUGCAGGUCUGACUCUCACCGGCCUCUACGCUCUGUAUAACAACUGGGAGCACAUGAAGGGCUCCAUUUCCCGGCAGUCCCUCUGAGCAGGGCAGCCAGCGCCGGGCAGAGGACACGCUUGCACAGUCACCAAUCCAAUCACUGCGAGAUCUGUCUGGUGCCCCUUCCUAUUCUAUUUACAAUUAGUGAGAAACUGAAGGAAGCUGUGUUGGGAGGAACCUCUUGCCACCCUUUGGCUGGAUUGGCCCUUUCCUUCCUGCCAGCCACUUGUUGGAGGCAGUGAUAGUUGUUGGACCUGCAAGCGAGCGGAGCGGCCACCACGACAGUCUCCCUGACACGCUCACCAGCCAGCCCUGGGCCAGAGCCAUGCAGUGUGCUUGAGUCCCAUCACUGCGCCAGCUGUGCUGCCAGGUCUGGGCAGAUGAGUGCUGCUGCUGCACAAUAAAGGCUCUGUCCAUAGAGCCCUUCA